GGUACUGUAAUGUAUGAUGUAUUUUUAUGACUGUUUUCAAGUCUCAAUCUUUUAUGUAUUUUUUGGUUUUCAUUUUUCUUAUAGUAGAAUAUAUUUUUAGGGUCAUCCAUUUGGUUCUUGUUAGUAUUGAAUUUAUUUUGAUUUUCUCAAGCUCUUACUGUCUUUUUUUACAAACUCUGGUAUUUGCGAGUCUUGUGCACUGGGUGCCAUCUUUU
rnacentral:lncRNA from 1 species